UCAGGCAUUUCCAGACUCACAAAAUCAAUAAGAAACACAAAUUUGUCUAUUUUUACCAGAUGAUCUUCUACUAUCCCAUAGCAUUUUUUCACUAAGUGGUCUGCAAACUGAAGUGUCAUUCUAAUGUCUUAAAUCGUACCAAUGCCUAACUUUCUAUAGAUGUAUAAAGGCAUAAGACUCACACUAGCUCUCAAAUCAAUAAGUGCCUUCUUGAAUUUUCUAUCUUCAAUUGUGCAUGGAAUGGUUACAAAGCCCCUAUCUUUCUUUUUCAUAGGAAUCUUGAUACCUUGUAAUAUGCCACUGCAUGUUUCAGUCAAAAGUAUAGGUUUAGUGUUUGUUGUGUGUUUCUUGGAGAUAAUAUCUUUCAUGAACUUGGCAUAUAUAGGCAUUUGCUUUAGCGCCUCAAAAAAGGUAUAUUAAUCUCAAGCUUUUUGAAUAUUUCUAAGAACUUCUCAAAAUUCUUUUCAUGAUGAUCCUUAUUCUUUGCUCUUUGAGGAUAUGGGAGUCUGAUGACAGAUCUUGGCUCUUUUUUCCUUCUCAGCCAUUUUUGGUGUAGCUACAUCUUCAGGGAUUUUCUGAUUAUCUUUUAUUUCUAAAUCUACCUCUAAGGGUCGAGCAACUUACCAGAGAAGACGAAGUUGGAAACAGUGAUUGCGAUGCAAUUCAUGUAUGCUCUGAUUCGUUGAUUCUUCCUUAUGUUCUUCUUCUUUCUUCUUCUCCCUAUACGUGUAUUCUUCUUCUUCUCUAGUUUUUUAGUAUGUAGGAAAGAUUCUGGAAAUCACGUUAUCGUUGAUUGUAUGAGCAUAAUAGAUGUUUAGAAACUAAGAGGUCCAACUCUUGUUAUUUCAGAGCUUCAAUGUGAAGCUCUGAGCAAAAAUGGAGAAAGAGAGCUUUGGGGUGAGGGAGAGGAUUUGAUAGAUGCAGAUUGAAAGGGAUUGAAUUUGAGAGAAUGAAGAUUGGGAUCUGAGAAGAAGCAAAAUCAAUCCCAAACUCAAUGAUGUAAUGAUGCUUUUAUACACAAACUCAAUUAUGUUAUGCUUUGUAUUUUUGUUGGCAUCUUCUACUCAAUUUUGUUAGAGCUUUGCAAAACGGUUAGGAAACGGUUAGGAUAGUUACAAAGUCAGUUAUGAGAAAUUAUUGACAGUUAUGAGUUGUUGCUAUAUGUUAGUUUGAAUGUCAAUCAGUGAGUUUAUUUUGUUAAUGAGAUGGAGUGAAAAUUGAUAUUCAGUUAAUUUCUGCUAACACUGUUUGAUGCAGGGGAGUCAUGUGUUGUUAGGUCACGAUUCCCUGCAUUGAAUUAUGUUAUCUCAUUGUGGACUUCGAAACUAGUGUUCUGUCAAUGUGCAGAGUUAAGGGUUAAGUGUCAUGUUCGUGGGAUUGAACUUGUGAUUAAAUGAGGCUAUUAUGUUGACUGGUGUUGUGAACUAUAUGGUUUUCUUGUACAAGGCAAUGUGCGGGUGGAAUCCUUGUUGAAUUUUUGUUGCCAAUUGUCCAGUUCGACCUGCAGGACCGUCCUCUUUAAAACUCCUUCAAAUUUUGUUAGCUUCUAGUUUGGUUUGAUGUCGUGGAAAGGUCAUUGUUUGUCUUGACGUUGAAUGCAGGAUAAACUAUGAUAUACUACAAGACUACUUUGCCCAGCUAUUUGGCAUGCCCAUGUUGUAAUGUUUGCAUGGUAUACUGCUAGUGAUAGUUUUGAUGCCUGCAGAAGUAACACCAUAUGGUGUGGUCAAUACUAUGGACCGUGUGGUUAGGAUUGAAGCAUCUCAAACUAGGGCUGCAAGGAUGUUUAAGUUAAGGCUAGCCCAAGUUCAAACAUGUUCAUGGCAUGUUGACUGCAAAAUGGAAAAUCAAGUCCAAAUGGUUAAAUCAAGCUCAAAAUGGACAUGGGGAAAGAAAUGUAGAACUAGGAUUGGCUAUUUAGUGGUUUAGGAUGAAAAAGAGUUUGGGUUGACUUUG